UGAGGGGUGCGAGCGUUAAUCGGAAUUACUGGGCGUAAAGCGAGUGUAGGCGGGCUACGUAAGUCGGAUGUGAAAGCCCCGGGGCUCAACCUGGGAAUUGCAUUCGAUACUGCGUGGCUAGAGUUUGAUAGAGGUAAGUGGAAUUCCGGGUGUAGCGGUGAAAUGCGUAGAUAUCUGGAGGAACAUCAGUGGCGAAGGCGGCUUACUGGAUCAAAACUGACGCUGAGGCUCGAAAGCGUGGGGAGCAAACAGGAUUAGAUACCCUGGUAGUCCACGCCCUAAACGAUGUCAACUAGACGUUGGGUUCAUUAAAGAACUUAGUGUCGAAGCUAACGCGUUAAGUUGACCGCCUGGGGAGUACGGCCGCAAGGUUG
rnacentral:rRNA from 1 species